UACGAAGGGUGCAAGCGUUACUCGGAAUUACUGGGCGUAAAGCGUGCGCAGGCGGUUUUGUAAGCCAGAUGUGAAAUCCCCGGGCUUAACCUGGGAAUGGCAUUUGGGACUGCAAGGCUGGAGUGCGGCAGAGGAGACUGGAAUUCCUGGUGUAGCAGUGAAAUGCGUAGAUAUCAGGAGGAAUACCGAUGGCGAAGGCAGGUCUCUGGGCUGACACUGACGCUCAUGCACGAAAGCGUGGGGAGCAAACAGG
rnacentral:rRNA from 1 species